AUCUCAGCCUGCCCUGGGGCCUACGAAGGAGGGCGAGGUGCCUUCAGCAGCAGAGGAGGCUCUUCGUAAUUUUCUAGACACCAGCCUUGGAGAAUGCUUUUGCCUGGAGGGUCUGUCAUGCCCUAGGGAUCCAGCAGGGCCACUCAUUAGUUAGCUGAUGGAGGAUUUCAGGAUUUAGGAUCUUGGUUAUCUCAUCUUUGAAGACUUGGCCAACACCUGGAAUAGCAUGGAAGAGGAAAUCGAGGAGGCCAACUUCCCUGUGAAAGCGGUACCCUCCCAGUGAGAAAAAAGCCAUUUGAUUUCUGCUGAUUUCUGCCUCCCUGAACUUUCCCAGCAUUGCCUGCGAAGGAUAUGAGGGAUAUCACCAAAUGGUCUGAUAAGCAGUAACUUCUCAUUGAAAAACAAGCCUGAAUGAGGAGAGAACUUCAAGAUAAUGGAAGAUUCUGACCCAACAGCUUUCUCUCUUCUAUUGUUUUUCCCCCAUUCUGCUUUCUUUUGGAUUCUGACCAUUUCUUUGUCUAUUUCAUUCUGAACUGGUCUUGGAAAGUUUUUUUU